rnacentral:rRNA from 1 species
AUGAACGCUGGCGGCGUGUCUAAGGCAUGCAAGUCGAGCGCACCUAUAUGCGAUUACAUCAAGAAUAGGUGAGCGGCAAACGGGAGCGUAACACCUUGGUAAUCUACCUCGAGGUCGUGAAUAGCCCUUGGAAACGAGGAGUAAUACACGAUGGUUAAAAGAGGUCUUAAGACUUUUUUUAUAAAGCUUUGGCGCCACGAGAUGAACCUAGGUCCUAUCAGCUUGUUGGUGGGGUAAUGGCCCACCAAGGCUAUGACGGGUAGCGGGUGUGAGAGCACGACCCGCCUCACUGGGACUGAGACACUGCCCAGACACCUACGGGUGGCUGCAGUCAAGAAUAUUCCUCAAUGCGCGAAAGCGUGAAGGAGCGACGCCGCGUGCCGGAUGAAGGCCUUCGGGUUGUAAACGGCUUUUUUCAGGGACGAACAAAUGACGGUACCUGGAGAAUAAGAGGUUGCUAACUCUGU